rnacentral:misc_RNA from 1 species
UUUAUUUUUAAUAUUAAAGAGCUUUGUUAAACUUAGACUUAAGUUUAGGUCAUUUUGGGGGUUUAGCUCAGUUGGCUAGAGCAUCGGCUUUGCAAGCCGAGGGUCAAGGGUUCGAGUCCCUUAACCUCCAUUGGGCUUAUGUCCUAAAUCGUAAUUAAGUAUGUUUUUAAGUAACUUUGUUAAAGUAAUUGUUGGAACGUGAAACAGAGGAAGUUAAAAUUUCUGGGUUAAGUUGAGAUCUGUUGAUAUUAAGAAGAAUCUMUAGAAGCAAAAGCAAGCUUUCGAUAAAACCCGAAGUUGUUUCGCUAAAGUGCAAGGAUUAAACAGGAUUGUAUUUUCCAGUAGCCUAUUUUAUAAAUGAUCUGCAUUUAGUAAAUAGUUUUUAGUUAAGAAAUAAUGUAGAUUGSUAAGUGUGAUGCMUGAAAGAAGGACAAGUAUKGUAGCGAGCMUAAAUCCUUGU